rnacentral:rRNA from 1 species
CCUACGGGAGGCAGCAGUGAGGAAUAUUGGUCAAUGGACGAGAGUCUGAACCAGCCAAGUAGCGUGAAGGAUGACUGCCCUAUGGGUUGUAAACUUCUUUUAUAUGGGAAUAAAACGUUCCACGUGUGGGAUUUUGUAUGUACCAUAUGAAUAAGGAUCGGCUAACUCCGUGCCAGCAGCCGCGGUAAUACGGAGGAUUCGAGCGUUAUCCGGAUUUAUUGGGUUUAAAGGGAGCGUAGGUGGAUUGUUAAGUCAGUUGUGAAAGUUUGCGGCUCAACCGUAAAAUUGCAGUUGAAACUGGCAGUCUUGAGUACAGUAGAGGUGGGCGGAAUUCGUGGUGUAGCGGUGAAAUGCUUAGAUAUCACGAAGAACUCCGAUUGCGAAGGCAGUUCACUGGACUGCAACUGACACUGAGGCUCGAAAGUGUGGGUAUCAAACAGGAUUAGAUACCCGAGUAGUC